CCUACGGGGGGCAGCAGUGAGGAAUAUUGGUCAAUGGGCGAGAGCCUGAACCAGCCAAGCCGCGUGAGGGAUGAAGGUACAGAGUAUCGUAAACCUCUUUUGUCAGGGAACAAAGGCGGGGACGUGUCCCCGGAUGAGUGUACCUGAAGAAAAAGCAUCGGCUAACUCCGUGCCAGCAGCCGCGGUAAUACGGAGGAUGCGAGCGUUAUCCGGAUUUAUUGGGUUUAAAGGGUGAGCAGGCGGUCUGUUAAGUCAGCGGUCAAAGCCCGGGGCUCAACCCCGGCCCGCCGUUGAAACUGGCAGUCUCGAGUUGGAGAGAAGUAUGCGGAAUGCGCGGUGUAGCGGUGAAAUGCAUAGAUAUCGCGCAGAACUCCGAUUGCGAAGGCAGCAUGCCGGCUCCACACUGACGCUGAGGCACGAAAGCGUGGGUAUCGAACAGGAUUAGAUACCCUUGUAGUC
rnacentral:rRNA from 1 species